AUUGAACGCUCGCGGGAUGCUUUACACAUGCAAGUCGAACGGCAGCGCGGACUUCGGUCUGGCGGCGAGUGGCGAACGGGUGAGUAAUGUAUCGGAACGUGCCCAGUAGCGGGGGAUAACUACGCGAAAGCGUAGCUAAUACCGCAUACGCCCUACGGGGGAAAGCAGGGGAUCGUAAGACCUUGCACUAUUGGAGCGGCCGAUAUCGGAUUAGCUAGUUGGUGGGGUAACGGCUCACCAAGGCGACGAUCCGUAGCUGGUUUGAGAGGACGACCAGCCACACUGGGACUGAGACACGGCCCAGACUCCUACGGGAGGCAGCAGUGGGGAAUUUUGGACAAUGGGGGCAACCUUGAUCCAGCCAUCCCGCGUGUGCGAUGAAGGCCUUCGGGUUGUAAAGCACUUUUGGCAGGAAAGAAACGUCGCGGGCUAAUACCCCGUGGAACUGACGGUACCUGCAGAAUAAGCACCGGCUAACUACGUG
rnacentral:rRNA from 1 species